rnacentral:rRNA from 1 species
AGUGAACGCUGGCGGUAGGCCUAACACAUGCAAGUCGAACGGCAGCAUGGGUGCUUGCACCUGAUGGCGAGUGGCGAACGGGUGAGUAAUGUAUCGGAACAUAUCCGCAAGUGGGGGAUAACGUAGCGAAAGUUACGCUAAUACCGCAUAUUCCCCGAGGGGGAAAGGAGGGGAUCCGCAAGGACCUUUCGCUUACGGAGUGGCCGAUAUCAGAUUAGCUAGUGGGUGAGGUAAAGGCUCACCAAGGCGACGAUCUGUAGCGGGUCUGAGAGGAUGAUCCGCCACACUGGGACUGAGACACGGCCCAGACUCCUACGGGAGGCAGCAGUGGGGAAUUUUGGACAAUGGGGGCAACCCUGAUCCAGCCAUGCCGCGUGAGUGAAGAAGGCCUUCGGGUUGUAAAGCUCUUUCAGCCGGAAAAAAAUCGCAUCACCUAAUACGUGGUGUGGAUGAUGGUACCGGAAGAAGAAGCACCGGCUAACUACGUGCCAGCCGCCGCCGUAA